UCUUUGUCCGAAAACAUGAAGAGUUUUCGUGCAAAAAUAAAGUGAGCGGAUACGAGAGAUUUUUGCCUGUUCGAACACUCCGUGGGAAGCAUUUUUUGAAAUUUUUGACCGAACCUCUGCUUCAAAGGUUUCCUACAUAUCCUUAGCUAUAAAGGAAUCAGGUCAAUGUAGUUCGGGAAGUUUUGGUAGCUGAGACUACCAUGAAGCUGCGGUUUUGCUGUUACUGCUGUUGCUGCUGCUGAUACUGCCUACUGACCUCCUUAUUACCCCAUGACAAAAAUGAAGAAGCUAGACUAAGCUAUGAUCUAUGCUUUACAAAGAUUUAUUUUCAAACUUGAUCUUGUGACUGAUGUUGCCUCGUUGACUUGUAUUUUCCUCAGAAGUUCCUUUGUGGCUGACUUGAAUGGUAUUCUUUGAAAUGCUUUCCUUUCUUCUCCAGGCGGGCACCUGAUUGCUGAACCCUUUAAAUGUCUUCCUUUGACUAUUGUUUCCUUUCCUCUGUUCCCCAGGCGGGCUCUUGAUUAUUUGAAAUUUGAAUUGCUUCUUCCCUUCGUUCUCCAGGUGGGCUCCUGAUUGCUGAGACUCGAAAUGUAUUCCCUUGUUCUCUAGAUGGGCUCCUGAUUGCUGAAACUUGAAUUGUAUUCCCUUAUUCUCCAGGUGGGCUCCUGAUUGCUGAAACUUGAACUGCAUUCUCUUGCUCUCCAGGUGGGCUCCUGAUUGCUGAGACUCGAAUUGUAUUCCCUUGUUCUCCAGGUGGGCUCCUGAUUGCUGAAACUUGAAUUGUAUUCCCUUGUUCUCUAGGUG
rnacentral:lncRNA from 1 species